rnacentral:rRNA from 1 species
AGUGAACGCUGGCGGUAGGCCUAACACAUGCAAGUCGAACGGCAGCACAGUAAGAGCUUGCUCUUACGGGUGGCGAGUGGCGGACGGGUGAGGAAUACAUCGGAAUCUACUUUUUCGUGGGGGAUAACGUAGGGAAACUUACGCUAAUACCGCAUACGACCUACGGGUGAAAGCAGGGGAUCUUCGGACCUUGCGCGAUUGAAUGAGCCGAUGUCGGAUUAGCUAGUUGGCGGGGUAAAGGCCCACCAAGGCGACGAUCCGUAGCUGGUCUGAGAGGAUGAUCAGCCACACUGGAACUGAGACACGGUCCAGACUCCUACGGGAGGCAGCAGUGGGGAAUAUUGGACAAUGGGCGCAAGCCUGAUCCAGCCAUACCGCGUGGGUGAAGAAGGCCUUCGGGUUGUAAAGCCCUUUUGUUGGGAAAGAAAAGCAGCAGGUUAAUACCCCGCUGUCCUGACGGUACCCAAAGGAUAAGCACCGGCUAACUUCGUG